GGUUAGAAUCCUGUCAGUAGGAGUCUAGCUGAGGGAAUGUUAAAAUACUGACUGCACUCGGAGAAGCUCCUGUGGAUAUAUUUUCGGACGUGGGUUCGAUUCCCACCGCCUCCACCA
rnacentral:tmRNA from 1 species